UUGAAAGGGAAACGAUUGAAGUCAGUCGUACCGACGAGAAAUCAACUUUUCGAAUGUGCAUUUGUGGGCGUAUGAGAUCUUCAUUGUUUACAAUAUGUAUGUUUCUUUGGUGUACUUUUUCGUAUGGUAGGUCAAUGUCGGUUUUGAUCGCCAUAAAAUGAUCGGAGGAAUGUAGCUUCGGCUUCGGUUGAAGUGUUAUAGCCUUUGGUAGAUGUGGUGAUUAGGACCGAGGAUUGCAACGAAUACCUUUUAGGCUAUCCGUCUGACCUCUGAAAGUUACUUAGGUGCCGAAAGCUUGCUUACGGUCAUUUAAGUUGACGGUCAAUAGGUUAGAACGUGAUUACAUUCGUUAAGGAUGUUGACGUA
rnacentral:rRNA from 1 species